rnacentral:misc_RNA from 1 species
GAUGAAGAACGCAGCGAAAUGCGAUAAGUAAUGUGAAUUGCAGAAUUCAGUGAAUCAUCGAAUCUUUGAACGCACAUUGCGCCCGCUAGUAUUCUGGCGGGCAUGCCUGUUCGAGCGUCAUUUCAACCAUCAAGCCCUGUUUAGGCUUGUGUUGGGGCCCUGCGGUUGCCGCAGCCCCCUAAAUGCAGUGGCGGGCUCGUUGUCACUCCGAGCGCAGUAAUACAUCUCGCUCAGGGCGUGCUGCGGGUUCCGGCCGUUAAAAAGCCUUAUUUACCCAAGGUUGACCUCGGAUCAGGUAGGAAGACCCGCUGAACUUAAGCAUAUCAAUAAGCGGAGGA